rnacentral:siRNA from 1 species
ACAGUGCUGAAACAACCCGACCCA